GCAUAUCAAUAAGCGGAGGAAAAGAAACCAACAGGGAUUGCCUUUAGUAACGGCGAAGUGAAGCGGCAACAGCUCAAAUUUGAAAUCUGGCUCUUUCAGGGUCCGAAUUGUAAUUUGUAGAAGAUGCUUUGGGUGUGGCUCCGGUCUAAGUUCCUUGGAACAGGACGUCAUAGAGGGUGAGAAUCCCGUAUGUGACUGGGUGCCUUUGCUCGUGUAAAGCUCUUUCGACGAGUCGAGUUGUUUGGGAAUGCAGCUCAAAAUGGGUGGUAAAUUUCAUCUAAAGCUAAAUAUUGGCCAGAGACCGAUAGCGCACAAGUAGAGUGAUCGAAAGAUGAAAAGCACUUUGGAAAGAGAGUUAAACAGUACGUGAAAUUGUUGAAAGGGAAGCGCUUGCAAUCAGACUUGCGCGCUGUUGAUCAUCCGAGGUUCUCCCCGGUGCACUCGGCAGCGCUCAGGCCAGCAUCGGUUUUGGUGGGCGGACAAAGGCCUUGGGAAUGUAGCUUCUUUCGGGGAGUGUUAUAGCCCUCGGUGCAAUGCGCCCUACUGGGACCGAGGACCGCGCUUCGGCUAGGAUGCUGGCGUAAUGGUUGUAAGCGACCCGUCUUGAAACACGGACCAAGGAGUCUAACAUCUAUGCGAGUGUUUGGGUGUCAAACCCAUACGCGUAAUGAAAGUGAACGGAGGUGAGAACCCUUAAGGGUGCAUCAUCGACCGAUCCUGAUGUCUUCGGAUGGAUUUGAGUAAGAGCAUAGCUGUUGGGACCCGAAAGAUGGUGAACUAUGCCUGAAUAGGGUGAAGCCAGAGGAAACUCUGGUGGAGGCUCGCAGCGGUUUCUGACGUGCAAAUCGAUCGUCAAAUUUGGGUAUAGGGGCGAAAGACUAAUCGAACCAUCUAGUAGCUGGUUCUGCGA
rnacentral:rRNA from 1 species